UGAAUCCCCAACAAUAAAAAAAAAAAAAAAAAGAAUGAUACAGAGAAGAUUAGCACGGCCUCUGAGCAAGGAUGACACGCAAAUUCGUGACACGGUCAUAUUUUUA